CCGAUGGCGACCGGCGCACGGGUGAGUAACACGUAUCCAACCUGCCGAUAACUCGGGGAUAGCCUUUCGAAAGAAAGAUUAAUAUCCGAUAGCAUAUCAAGGUCGCAUGAUCUUGAUAUUAAAGAAUUUCGGUUAUCGAUGGGGAUGCGUUCCAUUAGUUAGUUGGCGGGGUAACGGCCCACCAAGACGACGAUGGAUAGGGGUUCUGAGAGGAAGGUCCCCCACAUUGGAACUGAGACACGGUCCAAACUCCUACGGAAGGCAGCAG
rnacentral:rRNA from 1 species